GAACCACGGGACGGUUGGGUUGGAAAGGUCCUUAAAGAUCAUAGAGCCACGGGAUGGUUGGAUUGGAAAGGUCCUUAAAGAUCAUAGAGUCACGGGAUGGUUGGAUUGGAAAGGUCCUUAAAGAUCAUAGAGUCACAGGAUGGUUGGAUUGGAAAGGUCCUUAAAGAUCAUAGAGUCACGGGAUGGUUGGAUUGGAAAGGUCCUUAAAGAUCAUAGAGUCACAGGAUGGUUGGAUUGGAAAGGUCCUUAAAGAUCAUAGAGUCACGGGAUGGUUGUAUUGGAAAGGUCCUUAAAGAUCAUAGAGCCAUGGGAUGGUUGGAUUGGAAAGGUCCUUAAAGAUCAUAGAGUCAUAGGAUGGUUGGAUUGGAAAGGUCCUUAAAGAUCAUAGAGCCACGGGAUGGUUGGAUUGGAAAGGUCCUUAAAGAUCAUAGAGCCAUGGGAUGGUUGGAUUGGAAAGGUCCUUAAAGAUCAUAGAGCCACGGGAUGGUUGGAUUGGAAAGGUCCUUAAAGAUCAUAGAGCCACGGGAUGGUUGGAUUGGAAAGGUCCUUAAAGAUCAUAGAGCCAUGGGAUG